UAAUACGGAAGGUGCAAGCGUUAAUCGGAAUUACUGGGCGUAAAGCGCGCGUAGGCUGUUAUCUAAGUCGGAUGUGAAAUCCUCGGGCUCAACCCGGGAACUGCAUCCGAAACUAAAUAACUAGAGUAUGGGAGAGGUAAGUAGAAUUUCAGGUGUAGCGGUGAAAUGCGUAGAUAUCGGAAGGAAUACCAGUGGCGAAGGCGGCUUACUGGACCAAUACUGACGCUGAGGUGCGAAAGCGUGGGGAGCGAACAGGAUUAGAUACCCUGGUAGUCCACGCCGUAAACGAUGAGAACUAGAUGUUGGGAGGGUUAGCCUCUCAGUGUCGCAGCUAACGCAUUAAGUUCUCCGCCUGGGGAGUACGACCGCAAGGUUG
rnacentral:rRNA from 1 species